AACCUUAUGGACCUGCGGGCGUAUACCUGCGGAAGGAUCAUUAUUGGAAAAAAACCUUAUACAAGUUGCAGGAGGGGAGGAAGUGGGUGGAUGGAGUUUUUUCUGUUCACUCUCUUUCUCUUCUUCUGCUUCUUCAAACAAACGAUCACAACUAUAUUGAGAGAUUGGAUUGGAUGAUGAUUUGGUGGUGGUGGGGGAAAAAAGGAGACAAGUGCAGCGCAGAUAGACAGAAAUGCCUUA
rnacentral:misc_RNA from 1 species